AUUUUUUUUUUAAAUUAUAAUUUCUUAUGUGGCAAUGACAUAGCACUGAUUUGGCAAUGACGUGACACGUGUGUAGUGCACUCUCCGUGUGAGAGUGGGAUUUUGAUUUUGAGAGUGAAUUUAAUUCACUUGAAAGUUGUUAAGUGGGUAAAUAAAUGAAAAUUAAGUUUAAGUGCUAAAGUGAGUUUGGAGGACAAGUUUAGGAGGGAAAAGAUGUCUUUUCUCUACUUAAUAUUAUCUAAAUCAUUUUGUAUAAAUAACCAUGCUGUGUUACUUAUUGUUCUUUUCAUUCACAAAGAAGUAUACUUAUAUAGAGUGAAGAGUUUUGGGCGCAUCAAAACUUGAUGAUCAGAACCGGAGGUAACUUUUAACGAAAUAAUAUAGCCGAAGCUGCAAAUUUGAUAAGCAAAAUGACAUUGAGUUUAUUCAAAUUAAAGGUACAAAUAUUUCAUUCGACAUUGUCCUGAUCUAGAAAGAACUAGAACAAUUAGUCGUUUUACUUUAUUUUAUGAAAGAAGCAACAAAAUUUCUUUACUUGGAGCAAAGAAAGGUAUUUGCAGUAGAAUUGUAGAGGCAUUUAGGACAACAACCAGAACAGGGCUUGCACCUACAGUCUUGACCGCAACUGCAAGUAUAAGGUGAGGGACGAGGUGCAACUGCUUUUGAUACGAGUUCUGUCUUAGUCUCAGCAACUAUUUUCACUCUUGGAGACUCAGCAAAUAAACUAUAAUCCAUCAAAAGAAUUAUGUGUCAAAAUCAAUAUGUUACAUCAUUGUUAUUCUAAUAUGUAAAACCAAGAUGACAAAUAUGCACACAAAUAUAUUUUGUAUUUGACGUAAGUAAUAAAACCCAACAUAUAUAGAGGCAUACUUCCUCUAAUUCAUUACAAGUGAAUUGUUGAGACUUUUUCAUGAUUCAAAAUAAGAGAUAAUAUCUCAACGAGACAUGUUUAUGCUUCCUUUUAAGAUGGUUCUUAACUAUUUUACAUUUUCUAGGAGAAUAGUUUAGGAAUAAUUAAAAGAAUAAUAGUGUAAAACAACAUUUGAUUUAUCAUUUAUGUCCCCAGCCUAUAAAUGUUCUGCUUAAGGUAAGCUUGUCAAACGGGCCAGAUUGACCCGCCUGAACCGGCCCGUUUAAGAAAAUCGAGCCAGCUUGACCCGGCCCGAUCAGCCUAUGAUUUGUAGGGUACCGGGUACCGGGCCGGUUUAUUUUUUUGAUUGGGCCCGGUUAGCCUGGCUCGAACCAAGCCCGGUUCGGGCCCGCCGGUUAACCGGCCCGAAUUCAUUUUUUUUUAAAAGUGGGCUUUGGUCCGUUUGGCCCAAACUAACCGUUGGCCCAACGACUAUAUAGCCGUUUUUGGGUCUAAACUGCUAGUUUGACAUUUAUUAUUAAAUUUUUUUUUUUACUUUUAAAAUUAUUUUUUAACCCUAAAAAAAUUCCUAUAAAUACCCUAUACUUUCAAAUCAUUUUCCACAUAAUUUUUCAUUCUCUCAAUUCUCAUUCUCUCUCAAAUCUCAAUUCUCAAACAUUCUACAUAUUUAAUUUCCUAAAGUGCUCACCUUAAUUUUUUAAUUUGGCGAUUACAAAGUACGAGUGGAAGUUUCUAAAGUCGCAAUCUUCGAAUACUUCCAAAAUUUGGUAUUGUCGUUCAUCUCUUACGUUUAAUUUUUAUUUAGUGUGUUAAUUGUUGAAUAUUUAAUUUUAUUAUAUUUGUGUAUUUUGAAUUUUUUUAGUUUAAUUUAUAUUAUGGAUAAAUUAAGAAACUUCGCUACUAAAGGUGUUAAAAUUUUUUGUCCCGCAAGUGGUAGUUGUAGUAAAAAGCGAAUUACUAGCGGUAGAGGUACUUCAAGUACUAGAUAUACCCGUGUGCCUCCGGUACCGCUUAGUCAAUCUUUUGAGGACGAAGUAGGCGUACCUUUAGGUGUAGGUGCCCACGAUAUGGAUUAUGUAGAAGCUCAGGAAAAUUCCAGUAUAGAAGAAGAAAAUAAAGUAGAUGCGGUUAAUUUAGACGAAGAUGAUGAAAAUAUUGGUGAGACACCUGCAGUAGGAAAUGCUAACGUUAGAUCUGAAUCGGUUAAUCUCCCUCCCCAUCCUCCCCGUGCCCCAAGAGCUCGUAAAACAACUAGUAUUGCAUGACAAUUUUUUGAACGUAUAUCAGAUACUGAGGUGCAAUGCAAUAUUUGUCAACGAAUAUAUAAGCAUAAAAAUAGAGGCAAGCAAGGGGGUACGGGUACGUUAAUGAAACAUGUAGGUGAUGCUCACGAAAGAGAGUUACAUAUUGCACGAGGUGGUGCGGAUAUUGGUGGGCCAACACAAACUAGAAUGGACCCAGCAACCGGUCAGGUAAUGAAGAAGUAUAAUAAAAUGCAGGACCGGAAAGAAAUAACUAAAAUGGUAGCUGUGAGUUGUUUGCCUUUUAGUUGUCCUUCUUCUGAUGCCUUUAUUCAUUAUAUUCAAGCAAUUUAUAAUCCUAUGUUUAAUGGUAUUCCUAGAAGUACUUGUCGGACGAAUAUUUUUAGACUCUAUUCACAAUAUUAUUUUUAUUUAUCAACAUUGUUAAAAAAUAUUCAAUGUAGAAUGUCCCUAACUUCUGAUCUUGGGCGUGCUGUAAAUAAAAAUGAUUAUUUAAUUAUUACUUGUCUCUGGAUAGAUAGUAGUUUUAUUAUUCAAAAACGUAUUCUUACUUUUUUAUAUGAUGAAGAUCGUAAACAUACUGGAGAUUUUAUUAUUGAUUCGAUUGCUAAAGUUGCAGAAUUUUAUAGUAUUGAAAAUAAAAUCUUAUGUAUUGCUUUUGAUAAUGCUUCUAACAACAAGACUGCUAUAACAAAAUUAGGGCCCGUUUGGCCAUGAAAUUUUUUUCUUUUUCCGGAGAAUUUUUUUGGAGUUGGAAAUUAUGGUGUUUGGCCAUGAAAAUUUAGAAAAUAAUUCUAGAAAAUUUUUCUAAAAAGGAAAAACAAGUUUUUGUUAUUUUCCAAUUUUUCAACUCCAAUUCCAACUUUUAUUAUUAUUACAUAUAACCCAAUCUUUUAAAUUUUUACAUAAAACUCUCCUUAUAACAUUACUUUUUCAAUAUUACGUAUAUAGCAGUUUUAAAGAAUAAGAUAAUUAUAAUUUCAAAUUUAAUGCUAUCCUAAUUAAUAUAUAUCUCUUUUUCUCUAUCAUCAUUAUUUUUCUCCUUUAUUUAAUUUUCUCUCUUAUAUAAGACAUUAUUUUACUGCUAAUGAUCCUAAUUACUAUAAUAUAAUAAUACUAAUAAUUAUUAUUAUUAUUAUUAUUUUUCUGUUGUGAUACGUACGUUUAAGGAAUUAUAGUUGUGUAAUUAAUAAUGGAUAAUCGUUUUCUAUAUUUAUGGAAUUAAUAAAGUUGUAGCAGAUUAGUUUACCACUGCCACAAAUUAUUCUAAUUUUUAAUUUGAUUAUAUAUAUUAUAUUGUGUACAUCUUUAUUAUACUAUUCAAAUAUAUACAGUUUAUAUCAUAUAUAUGUUAAAAAUAUAAAUCGGUGAUACAUGUCCAAUUUAACAAAUUUAUACCUUAAACUACAACUGCUAUCUUUAUAUACCAUAAUACUUGAUAUCUUUAUACACAAAACAUUAUAUUUAUACCCAUAAAUAUAUAAAGUAUUAUAUUUAUAACAGAAAUAUACAAAGUAUAUUAUAUAUAAAGUUUAUACUAUGUAUAUAUCAUAUACACACAUAUAUAAAUAUAUAAAUUAUUAAGAAACAUACUAAGAAUAUUUAUAACAUAAAUAUACAAAUUAUAUUAUAUAUGAAGUUUAUACCAUGUAUAUAUCAUAUACACACAUAUAUAAAUAUACAAAGUAUAAAGAAACAUACUAAGCAUAUUUAUAUAUUUAUGGUAUAUGAUAUAAUAUACCAUAAAUAUGUAAAGUAUGUUUUACAUAGAAAUAAUUUAUUCACACACAGUAAAAUCUUUCAUGUAUAAGAAAAUUAAAGAAAUAAAUUAGCAGCACCCCAAAAUUUAAUAACAACUUAUCAUGUCAUAUUUUUUAGGAACGAAAAAUAAAGGAAAUAAAUUAGAUAAAUUCCUAAGAAAAUAAAUUUGUUUGAAAGAUAAUAUUUGUUACCUAAAAAAUAGGAAAUAGUGAUCUAUUAAUAUAACAUCCAUAUUUAAAAUUUUUAAAUAUGAGAAACGGCUAUUAAUGUAAAUAUUAUAUAUGUCAUAAUUGAAAUUCAGUAAAUAUGUCCUUGUAGAUGUAAUUAUUUUUAUAAAAGUGGCUAAUUGUGUUCUUUUUCCAUUAGUAGGUAAAUUUUAGUUGGGUGAUUUUGAUAGUUUGUAAAAGUUGGGGCAUACAAUCAUAUUUAAAAAAGUUUUUUCAAAAGUCAAGAAAAAAAAUUCAGAAAAAACAUGGCCAAACACAACUCCAACUCCAAUUUCAACUCCAACUCCGAAAAUUUUUAGUUUUCAUGGCCAAACGGCUACUUAAAAUGUAAGCUAUCUCCGUCGUUACCUGAAAUUUUUCAUAUUAAGUGUGCAUGUCAUAUAUAUAAUUUAAUUGUAAAAGAUAGUCUUGAGUUUUUUGAGCUUUAUAUUGAAAAAAUCCGUCUUGCUGUUAGUUUUAUUCAAGGAAAUAAUCAAAGAAAAAAAAUUAGAGAAUUUAAAGUUAAAUAUCAAGAAAAUGCACUUGCACCGAUAUUGAUGCCUGAGGAAAUUGAUAGUAGAUGGAAUUCUACGUAUGAUUUUUUAAAAACUUGUUAUAAAUAUAGAGUUCCUAUUACACUAGCUUUUAACUAAUAUUGUGGUUCAUUUGCUGAUUCUGCUGAUUGUAUGCUACAUGAUUCUGAUUGGGUUGUAAUUAAUGAUCUUGUUAAGUUUUUAAAAAAAUUUUAUGUAGCUACGGUUAAAUUUCUCGGUGCUUAUUAUCCUACUUUUUUCCUACUGUUUGUAAUAUUUUGGCAUAUAUAGCCGAUAUUUCUGCUUUACUCAAAGAAUAUAAAAAUAAAGAAGGUUAAAAAGAUGUUGUUGGUCCCAUGUUUGCUAAAUUUUAAAAACUAUUUUUUUUCGAUUCCUCCUAUUUACUUGGUUGGUGCUAUGCUUAAUCCGUGCAUGAAAUAUAAUACUAUGUCCCACUUUAGUACUAUUAUUUAUGUUAAUUUAGAAAUAAGUACUAACGAUGAUUCUCAACAAGUACAACCUGAUUUGUGGACGACUAUGGGUGAUGCGAAUGAAUACAUAGAUAAAUUAUAUAAUCACUAUGCUGAUUUAGUUGAUUUAGCCGUACCUACAAAUAUCACUCCAACUGUCGCUCCUCAUUCUCCCGAGGAGCCAUCAUCUUUUAAAAGGCCGGCACAUAGUGAUUUUCUUGAUAACUUUUAUGAUUUAAAUUGUUGGAACAAUGUCGAGAAGGGAGCUUACACAUCAACUUAUCGGGAAGAGUUUAAGUAUUAUCUUCGAUCGCCGCUAGAGGAUCGCAGACGACGGAUCAACGCGUUGGAUUGUUGGAGGAGUAAUUAAACACAAUAUCCUGUUCUUUCAAGAUUAGCUAGAUAUAUCUUGAAUGUUCCAAUGUCAACCAUUGCAUCGGAGGACGCUUUUAGUCAAGGACAACAACAACUUGGAGACAACCGACAUUCAUUGGGAAGCAAUGCAAUGAAUGUUCUCGUUUUCCUCAAAGAUUGGAUUAGAGCCGAACGAAGAAAUCAAGGAAUGAAAGCGGAGCCGAACGACGAGCAGAGACUUGAAGAAAUUAUAACUUCACGGAAGAACUCAGCAGAAUCAAGUCCAAUGCAUGGUUUUGCCCCCGUUGACUUUGACUAUCCUAUGCAAGUUUCAGUUAAUAUUAACAUGAAUGAGUUGAAGAAAAUGAUGCGGAAUCUGUAGAUUUUUCAUUCAUGUAAAUUAUAAAAUUUGGAUCAUUUUGCAAUAAAUAAAAUUCAACAUUCAUUCAUUCCUUAGUCCUUACUUUAUAAUUUUUUCCAUUUAAUGAUUUAAAUUAAAUUUCUAGCUUAAAUUAAAAACUUAGUUUUAAUAUAUUAUUAAUUUACUAUUAAGUAUUAGACUAUUAUUAAUUUAUUAUAUUAAGUAGCAUGUGUUUUAUUUAAAAUAGUGUAUAUAUGUGUAUAUAUUUUCUAAAAUAGUAUAUAUUUAAUGUAUACAUGUGUAUAUGUUUUAUAAAUUAGUGUAUAACUAUACAUAUAGUGUGUGUAUAUAUUGUAGUAUAUAUAUAUAUUGUAGUUUUUUUUAUUUAAAGUAGUACGUAUAUAUUUAAUAGUACGUAUAUAUGUGUAUAUAUCUUUUAUUGACGUAUAUAUUUAACGUAUACAUGUGUAUAUGUUUUAUAAAUUAGUGCAUAACUAUAUAUAUAGUGUGUGUAUAUAUUGUAGUAUAUAUAUAUNNNNNNNNNNNNNNNNNNNNNNNNNNNNNNNNNNNNNNNNNNNNNNNNNGUAUACAUGUGUAUAUGUUUUAUAAAUUAUUAUAUAUAUCAUUAUAUUGUAGUAUAUAUCCUGUAGUCUAUGUUUUAUUUAGAGUAAUAUAUAUAUUUAACUAACGUAUAAUCAUAUACACAAUUACAUGUGUAGUUGUGUAUAUGUGUAUAUAUUUUUUAAAUUCUAAUGUAGUAUAUAUAGUGUAUAUAUAUUGUUUAAUAUAUUAAAAGUGUAAAGGACUUUAGAAAUAUUAUUUGAACUUUUUGUCCUUCGUUAAAAGUCUCUACUUUAGAUAAAAUUGCCCUUUCACUAUUUUCUUAAUAUUUAAUAGUUUAAAAAUUAAUUAAAUAAUUAUAGUAAAUCUUUUCGAAGUCAUAGAAUUAGUGACAAUUAAUAUCUUUUUCAUUAGUUUAAAAAUUUUAAAUCAAUUAAGAAGAUUUGAAAAAUCUUGAAAUAAAUAUGAAAGCGUUAUAAUAAAAAGAUAUAAGAAAUACCAAAUUUGUAAAAGUUUUAAGUAAGUAAUUAAAUAUUUUCUCAUGAUUUAACUUUAAAAAUAAAAAAAGAUUUUAUAUAUAGAAAAAAAAAUAAUCGUACUACAAAUAUGAUUCAAAUCGAUGUAUCUCUCUUAGCCUCUAGCAGCAAGGAAAAAACGUACUACAUGAUAAACUCAAAAGUAAUCAUCCAUUAAUUAAUCACUUGAAACUAAUUCUGUGGUGAAAUAUGUAUGUCCAUAGAAUUAAAUAUAUGUCAUAUUUAUAUUAUUAUAUUAAAAUGUGGUGGAUCUUUGAGAAAUAUUAUUAUAUUAAAAUGUGGUGGAUCUUUGAGAAGUAGAGUAUGAAGAAUCUUUAAAAUGUGAUUUGACCUUUUUGCAUUUUAUUAAAAAACUUUAUAAAAGACAAAAUUAUCUAAUUUUAAUUAAUAAGUCCAAAUUUUUACUGUCUCCCUUCCACCAUUAAUUUAUCUCAUAUGGAAUAUACAUGCCUUAGUGGUCAUUGUCACAGAUUUCUACUUUCUUAAUUAUAUACGAGCCUAGUAUAUGUUAAUUUCUUUUUAUCUUAAUUCAUGUAACACAUAAUUUAGAUAAUUAAUUAUAAAAUAUAAUUUAAAAUUUUAAUUAUGGUGAUUUAUAAUAUUUUUGUUUUUAUUUUAAUUUAAGUGAUACCGCUAUAAUUUUAAGAGUUAUUCAAAUAUUCUAUACUAUCUUUUAAAUUUUUUAAGUUGUUAAUUAUAUGAUUUAUAAUGCUUUUAACAAAAAAUUUCAAUAAGAUAUGAAUACUCUAUCCAUUCCCGUCUCAAUUUACAUGGCACAGAUAAAAUUUCAACAGCCAAUUGAAUUUUUUAAAUACUUUUUAAUAUAUAUAUAUAUAUAUAUAUAUAUAUAUAUAUAUAUAUAUAUAUUGCUCUCUUUAUCUUUGUGUUUUAAAAUACUUUAUAAUACUCUUUCUUCUAUUUCAAUUUAAGUGAGACCGAUAUAACUUCGAGAGUCAAGCAAAUAUUACGAUUGAAGUAGCGAAAAGACAUGUUUUAAAUGACUCAUAAUAACUAAUUGUAAGUGAUAAAAAAUUGCUAUAAAAAAUACUUGUGAAAAUAAUUUAAGUGGGUCUCAUAUAAGAUGUCAAGUUAAUUUACAAUAUCAAGAGUUAAUUUAUCAUUUUAUGUCUAGAUUGCCUUUUUUAUUAAAUAUUAUUAAUUUUCUAAUACUUAGAUGACUUAUAAUAAUCAAUUAAGGGUGAUAUAGUAAAAUUACGGCUGAAGCGCCGAUAUGUUUAUCCUUCAUUUUAUGGAGAUUCUUGACUACUUUAUAUUUUCUAGGAAAAUAAAUUAGAAAUAAUUAAAAAGAUAUUAGUGUAAAGCAAUAUUUAAUUUAUGUCCCGGCAUAUAAAUGUUUCGCGUAGAACGUUUGUGAUGAUCCAACAAUUGAACUAUAUAGAAAGUAUAUAUCAAAUAAAAAGAGAGGAAGCUGUAGAAAAAGAAAGCAGAAAGCUAAAAACAUUUACCCGACAUCACCAAAAGCGCAACAGUGAAAUAGAAAGAAAAAUUGCGAGCCAUCGUAACAAUAUAAGAUAAAUUAUGUGUAUUGCAGUGAGAU
rnacentral:lncRNA from 1 species